CACACCUUGCUGCAUGAUCUCCACAAUCUGCACCACCUUGUCCAUGUGCUUCCGAGCAGCAAUCAGCCCUUGCAGCAUGAGCAUCUUGUAGUAGUUGAACAUAUCACCAUUCAGGCCACCCAUUACCUGGAAGCAAGGAGAGGGUCUGUGCACAGAGGAAUUCUGGUGGGUCCUUUCCCUGUGGGCCUCUCAAGAGCUUCCUUCUCUUAAGGCAAUCAUGUUAAAUUUCACUACCACUAUCUUCACAUUUUCUUUCAUAAGAAAGCUUUCAGGAAAUCCUGCCUCAUCUUGACUUAUUGCCAUUUCUGUUCUGUUCCUAACUUGGGGAGCUUAUCAGCUCCUCUCAGAGGAAGAACACAGUGACCCUUGGAAGCACCUCUUUUUUGACUCACAUCCACAAAUUCUGUGGUCAGCUUAAAGGCUGAUGUCUCGAAGCCCAGGUUUCGGGGUGAGCUGGAAAGGAUGAAGCCAAAGUCGAUGUGGAUGAUGUGACCUUCUGCGUCCAGAAGGAUGUUCCCAUUGUGCCUGAGGAAGAGGCAACAUGACUUUUUUGGAUAAAUUUUUAAAAAUGUAUAUUUCACCUUUUAAAAUUCAGAACUUAACAAAUUCCACUUACUGGAAAUUCAUACUAUUAGAAUACCCUGAAGUACAUUUAAUAAAAAGAGGUAAGUUUCUUGGUUGCAACAGUGGACAUGCUCUUUUCAGUUCCCCCAAGUGACAGUUAUGUUAAAUUUCACUCCAGACUUCUGUUACGAUCUUAUGACCAGGAUACCACCAGAGUGAACACUUUCCAGAAAUAAAAGAAGUAAUCGAGCAAGGAGAGCUGUGACUGUUUCUUCACCUGGUGGAUGGACACAGCAUUGACUACUGGUUCAAUCAUGCCACUGUCAGCUGAAAUCACAAGAAUCUUAUAUGGCUUGAUCCAAAGAGGCACUCGCUCCUGUUCCCAAAUGGACUGUGAAGAGACACAAAGUUGUUUCAACACCUGGAAAGCCAGCAGCUCCUGGCGAAGGUCAUCUCCACACUUGACAAUGACUGAAAGUAGUCGCCAAUUGGGAAGAUGGCCAUACGGGGAACCUUCUCUGAUCCUCCUGUGAAGAAAGAAGUCAUAGGAUGAUGCCAGGCUCAAGCAAUGUCUCAGCUGCACCUUCAGGGCCUCAAGUACUGAACAAGGACAGAAUAAGGAGAUAAGGGAGACACAAGCCUGACAGCUGGUGACCAGACACAGGACAAAGAGAGGCAGAGUGAAGAAGAUCAAGAUGAAGGAUGAUGUGAUCAGGCCAUACCGGAUGUCUCCUGCUGCAAUGAACACAGGCUCCUUGCUCUCCUGGCUAGUGAUGCUGUCCACUGAGAACUGGGAGAUGUUGUCACAGCUGUUGGUAUGCACUUCAGGGAGCUGGGAAGAGCAGGUCAGAAGUGCUUAAUACAGAUCUCCCUCUUGCCCUCUGCUCACUUGCCACUAACUACCUAAGGCACUCCACAGCAGUGUUCUCAAAGUGUGAACUACUCCAGGAAGUGCAGAUUUUCAGUUCUCACCAUCAGCCCAAAUUAAAACUAUUGGGAAUGAAAUCUAGAAGCUGCAUUUUUGUGAACUUUCUAGAAUACUUCCAAUACUCUCUAAGAACGGUCUCAAACCCGAUUUCCCAGCUUCCACUUCAGUGCUGGAACUAUAGGUGAACCACCAUACCCAGAUGGUUUCUUCAGACUAAAUCUCCACCUAAUCUCCUCACUCUUAACUAUAAAAUAUUCUGCCAGA